rnacentral:rRNA from 1 species
CCUACGGGAGGCUGCAGUGGGGAAUAUUGGACAAUGGGGACAACCCUGAUCCAGCCAUGCCGCGUGUGUGAAGAAGGCCCUCGGGUUGUAAAGCACUUUCAGUGAGGAAGAACGCCUGGUGGUUAAUACCCAUCAGGAAAGACAUCACUCACAGAAGAAGCACCGGCUAACUCCGUGCCAGCAGCCGCGGUAAUACGGAGGGUGCGAGCGUUAAUCGGAAUUACUGGGCGUAAAGCGCGCGUAGGUGGCUUGAUAAGCCGGUUGUGAAAGCCCCGGGCUCAACCUGGGAACGGCAUCCGGAACUGUCAAGCUAGAGUGCAGGAGAGGAAGGUAGAAUUCCCGGUGUAGCGGUGAAAUGCGUAGAGAUCGGGAGGAAUACCAGUGGCGAAGGCGGCCUUCUGGACUGACACUGACACUGAGGUGCGAAAGCGUGGGUAGCAAACAGGAUUAGAUACCCGAGUAGUC